AAGCAACACUCUGUGGCAGAUGAUCAGAACUGUCUGACACAAUUUGAGCUUGCUAUAGGAAGAAAGUCUAACCUAUUCUGGUGUUCUCCCUUCCAUGAGACGAGUCGUUACAUAGACUUAUACAGU